GCCGACGCCGCCACGCACCCGCCUGCACAAAUAAAAGCACAGUGUGACAUAGAGAGCCAUCGCCCACUCAAGGCGCCGUCGGAGCGUUUCAGCGACAAGGAAGUGAGAGCAGGAGCGCCUCCGCGGCCCCGCACGCACCAAAGAGGACAACGCGAGACGCGUUACGCGGAACGCCACGUCCCCGUGCUUCCUUGCACACACGUCGUUGUGUGCACGCUUGCGUCUGUGUCCAAAAAGGCACCCCGCCGCGUUUUCUGUCGAAACCCUCCCCUCCCCCUUUCUCUCUGCCCCCGCCAUCUCAUCAUCCGACAUUAUUCUCCAUCGUCGUCUUUCUCACGCCUCUCCGUCUUUUCCGCUUGGCCCCCCCUCCCCCCCCCCCGUGUCUUGUGCCUUAUUGUCUCUCCUGUCUUCUCGCACGUCUGUCUCUCCGUCCAUCCCUCUCCCUCUGCGUGCACUCGAUUGGGUCUCUGUCUUUGUGUGCACAGACAUAUCUAUCUAUAUACCUAGAUAUACAUCUAGGUAUCUAAUGCAUAUAUACAUACAUAUAUAUGUUUGCGUAUAUAUGUGUGUGUGUGUUGCGUGUGCCGGUGCACUCUGGUUUUGCGCUUUCCCUCCUUCCUCGUUUUCGUUUUCGGUCUUCACCUCUCUCUCUUUCUCCCGUGCUUCUUUGUGUUGCACUUCUUCUGGUGUGUGUCACUGACUAGCGUGCGUCUGCGUGCCGCCUCACUUUCGCUUCCUGUGUGUGGGCGCGCAUCGACUUCUUCGGCUUCUAUCUGGGCUACGCCUGCUUUCUAUUUAACACCAGCGCACCCGUUAGCGUUUAACGCGCCUGCGCAUGUCGCAGUCACCCAAUGCUGAGUGCCUGUACUCCCCCGUGGACGGCGAGGGCAUGAAACGGCUGUCGACCGCCACCUCGGUUCACAGGAACACCAGAGCAACCUCUCAGCGCCCUGCUCCUCCGGUGAAUCCGAACGGCUCGGCGGCGUCCCCGCACCGCAGCCCGCUGACCUUGGUAGGUGCUCCGCGGCCAGGCGAGUCGAAGCCAGCGGCUGCCACCUCCGAAACUCAUCCUCAGUGCGCCGCUGCCUCUCUCGGAGAAUCGGCCUACGACAUGGACGCUGGAGACGAGCUGCCCGCCUUCGGCUACCGCGGCGGCACGUCGACGGGCCUGAGGAAGAAGUGCCAAGGUAACGCGGCGCGCGAGUACCCGGUGGAGGGAACAGGGGACGGGGUACUGAACCCGUUGCGUUGCGAGGGCGGCAGCGACAGCGGCAAGGUGAGGGAUGGGGCGGCUAUCGGCGGUGCUAUCGCGGCUGACGACGGGCAGGCCACGUCGCUGUCCGCUACCGAGUCCGUGAAGGAGAACGGCAAGCCGCUCUUCUCCCUCUCAAACAUCCCCGUUCCCACGACGGCGGAGGAGUACUACGCGCGCGUGGCCGAGAUCGAUCACGUGCGCUGCGGCCUCGGCCAGGAGCUGGAGGGCGACGCGAAAGACAUCUACGGCCCCACGUGGCCCUUCUCACGCCGCAUGAUUGCCUCGAGGGUGUUCGGCACGAAGGAGUGCCCGGCGCCGAACUGCGACAAGAAGACAAACAUCCAAGCUGUGACCGGUCCGCGGGCUUGGGCGCUCCUCUUUAUCUACGGCAUCCUCAUUGUUUACCCGGUUUUCACAACCGUCGCCUACGCUGGCGAGAGCGGAUGGCAGUGCAUCAUCGUUUUGUGGCUGCUCUCCGGCCUCACCAUCGUCUUUGUGACGCUCUGCGCCUUCACAAACCCUGGCAUUGUGCCGCGCCGUCGGCUGAGGAAUGUGACAGACCGUGGCGACAUUCUCAUUGUACGCGUCCCGGCGCCGAACGCGCAGGCGGUGCUCGAUAAGCUGCAAGAGCUGCCCGAGAGAAUGGGGCAGCCUCCAGCGGUGAAGUGCGGCAAUGGUGGCAGCGGAGAAGCCGCCGACGCCUCUGCCUACACCGCCGAGGCUCUCCGCAGCGCUGUCGCGGACGGUGACCUCCCAGCCAGCGUUUUC
rnacentral:misc_RNA from 1 species